AAGGCUUGACCUCAAAUCAGGUAGGACUACCCGCUGAACUUAAGCAUAUCAUA
rnacentral:rRNA from 1 species